rnacentral:rRNA from 1 species
CGUAGGUAAUCUACCUUCGGGUGGGGAAUAACGCAGGGAAACUUGCGCUAAUACCGCAUAAUGCAGCGGCACCACAUGGUGACAGUUGUUAAAGCGGGGGAUUUUCGGACCUCGCGCCUGAAGAGGAGCCUGCGGCAGAUUAGCUAGUUGGUAGGGUAACGGCUUACCAAGGCGACGAUCUGUAGCCGGCCUGAGAGGGCGGUCGGCCACACUGACACUGACAUACGGGUCAGACUCCUACGGGAGGCAGCAGUCGGGAAUUUUGGGCAAUGGGCGAAAGCCUGACCCAGCAACGCCGCGUGAAGGAUGAAAUCCUUCGGGAUGUAAACUUCGCAAGAAUGGGAAGAAUGAACGAGCGCUAACACCGUUCGUGAUGACGGUACCAUUUGUAAGCUCCGGCUAACUCCGUGCCAGCAGCCGCGGUAAUACGGGGGGAGCAAGCGUUGUUCGGAUUUACUGGGCGUAAAGGGCGCGUAGGCGGCCAGCGCAAGUCAGUUGUGAAAUCUCCGGGCUUAACUCGGAAAGGUCAACUGAUACUGCGCGGCUAGAGUGCGGAAGGGGCAACUGGAAUUCUCGGUGUAGCGGUGAAAUGCGUAGAUAUCGAGAGGAACACCUGCGGC